AUUGAGGCCUAUCCCGAUAGGGCCUUGCCGUAGGCUUUUAUCGUUGGAAAUGCCUCGCAGAGCAAGCUUGUGGUUUCGCUUUACCCACAGAACUAUGUGUUAGCUCUGUGGGAUAAAACUACAAGACAAAA